GGUCGCUUAGCUCAGUUGGUAGAGCGCCACGUUCACAUCGUGGAUGUCGCAGGUUCAAGUCCUGCAGCGACCAUCA
rnacentral:tRNA from 1 species